GACUCUAACCUAUACUUAAACUGUUUUUCUCAGCUGACUAGUGAGCUGCCUACGGAGUGGACCCGAACAGGAAGGAUCCAGCUCUAAAGAAGCUGGCUAUGAAGAUUCUUGGACUCACGUGUUCUGCCAGUGGUUGCGAGUGCAAUUGGAGCACGUUCGAGGCGAUUCAUACCAAGAAAAGGAAUCGCCUUGAGCAAAAAAAACUCAACGACUUGAUUUUCGUUUAAUAUAAUCAAAAAUUGCGAGAACGAUUCCAAAGUAGGAAAGAAAAGCCUGGUUUCUUUGACCCUAUCUGCUUAGACAAGUUGGAUGCAAAUAACGAGUGGCUCGUAGAGACGGAGGACCCAGUAUUUGCUGGAGAGGUGCUGACGUGGGCACAAGUUGAAGAUGCCGCAUAUGGAUCAACAUCUAGUGAAGGUAGUAGUACCACUCGAAGGCGAAGGAUGGGGAGGAGCCGGGGGGUGAGUAAUAGCCGUCAACCCGUUGAUGAGAUUGAGGAGAUUGAAGAAGAGAAAGUGAUAAUGAUGAUCAAGCUGAAGAUCAUCCACCAUUGGAUGUUGAUGAAGUAUUAGUACGUAUAGAUGAUGAAGAAACGAAAGAAGAAGUGUAUGUGGAAGAAGGAGAUGACUCGAAUGAUGAUGAUGGUGGUGGUGGUGGUGGUGGUGGACCUGGUGGUGAUGUGCCACAAUGGAUGCUAGAUCAAUGUAUAUGAUUAAUGAUUAUUGAUUAGAUAAAUAAAAUAAUAAAUACAUAACUUCUUAAUUUUGUUU